rnacentral:rRNA from 1 species
AUUGAACGCUGGCGGCAUGCUUUACGCAUGCAAGUCGAACGGUAACAGGCCGCAAGGUGCUGACGAGUGGCGAACGGGUGAGUAAUGCAUCGGAACGUGCCCAGUCGUGGGGGAUAACGCAGCGAAAGCUGUGCUAAUACCGCAUACGAUCUAUGGAUGAAAGCGGGGGACCGGAAGGCCUCGCGCGAUUGGAGCUGCCGAUGUCAGAUUAGGUAGUUGGUGGGGUAAAGGCCCACCAAGCCAACGAUCUGUAGCUGGUCUGAGAGGACGACCAGCCACACUGGGACUGAGACACGGCCCAGACUCCUACGGGAGGCAGCAGUGGGGAAUUUUGGACAAUGGGCGCAAGCCUGAUCCAGCAAUGCCGCGUGCAGGAAGAAGGCCUUCGGGUUGUAAACUGCUUUUGUACGGAACGAAACGGUCUGGGUUAAUACCUCGGGCUAAUGACGGUACCGUAAGAAUAAGCACCGGCUAACUACGUGCCAGCCGCCGCAGUAAAAC